UCGGCCCCGGUUCACGCCCCGCAAGCCCGCGGCAGCGACCCGGCGCC
rnacentral:ncRNA from 1 species